UUCCGGUUGAUCCUGUCGGAGGCCACUGCUAUGGGGGUCCGACUAAGCCAUGCGAGUCAUGGGGCGCGCUCUGCGCGCACCGGCGGACGGCUCAGUAACACGUCGGUAACCUACCCUCGGGAGGGGGAUAACCCCGGGAAACUGGGGCUAAUCCCCCAUAGGCCUGAGGUACUGGAAGGUCCUCAGGCCGAAAGGGGCUUUCGCCCGCCCGAGGAUGGGCCGGCGGCCGAUUAGGUAGUUGGUGGGGUAACGGCCCACCAAGCCGAAGAUCGGUACGGGCCAUGAGAGUGGGAGCCCGGAGAUGGACACUGAGACACGGGUCCAGGCCCUACGGGGCGCAGCAGGCGCGAAACCUCCGCAAUGCGGGAAACCGCGACGGGGGGACCCCCAGUGCCGUGGCAUCGCCACGGCUUUUCCGGAGUGUAAAGAGCUCCGGGAAUAAGGGCUGGGCAAGGCCGGUGGCAGCCGCCGCGGUAAUACCGGCGGCCCGAGUGGUGGCCGCUAUUAUUGGGCCUAAAGCGUCCGUAGCCGGGCCCGUAAGUCCCUGGCGAAAUCCCACGGCUCAACCGUGGGGCUUGCUGGGGAUACUGCGGGCCUUGGGACCGGGAGAGGCCGGGGGUACUCCUGGGGUAGGGGUGAAAUCCUAUAAUCCCAGGAGGACCGCCAGUGGCGAAGGCGCCCGGCUGGAACGGGUCCGACGGUGAGGGACGAAGGCCAGGGGAGCGAACCGGAUUAGAUACCCGGGUAGUCCUGGCUGUAAAGGAUGCGGGCUAGGUGUCGGGCGAGCUUCGAGCUCGCCCGGUGCCGAAGGGAAGCCGUUAAGCCCGCCGCCUGGGGAGUACGGCCGCAAGGCUGAAACUUAAAGGAAUUGGCGGGGGAGCACUACAAGGGGUGGAGCGUGCGGUUUAAUUGGAGUCAACGCCGGG
rnacentral:rRNA from 1 species